UCCGCUCACUUGGUGACAUCGCCAAGCGAGCGGAUCUGAAGGUGUAUGGGGACAUUAAGUCUGACGGUCAUUUAAGGCGAGAUUAGGGGGGAAAUACAUUUGCUAUUAUAGAUCUACAGGAAAUCAUAACAAUGUGUUCAAACGUCUAAACCCUUGUUUGGCGCUAAGGUGGGCCCUGACCAAUCAUCAUACACUGGCACCUAAAGGGUGUUUCACCAUUCAAUUCACUGUUGAUUCACAGCUGAUGUCAUAGUGGGUUCCCAUGGCAACACUGAUGUCUUUAGACCACCCAUGUGGAAGCCUGCAGCUGAUGUCACAAUGGGUUCCCAUGGCAACACUGAUGUCACAAUACCAGCUGUGUGUGCGUAACCGUUACAACUUGGGGAAACACUUCAGAUUGCUUUUUAGAGCAGAAACGUAACGACCAUCUACCACAAUGGCGCCCAGAUUCUGUGAUUGUAUCCUGGACUGUGUGAGAGGUGUCUGCGCACCGUUCAGGUACAAGAAGAAGAAGCCUGGAAAGUUUGCCCAUAUGGAGACGGUCGUUUACGUGGCAAAGGACGAAUCCAUAACUUUUCUCCCAACGGGGACUAGUUAUUAGGAUUCGUAGGUAAGUAGUUAGGUAAGUAAUUAGGUUAGGCUUAAAAAAAAAAAAAAAAAAAAAAAAAAAACACCAAAAAAAAA